rnacentral:rRNA from 1 species
GAGUUUGAUCGUGGCUCAGAUUGAACGCUGGCGGCAUGCCUUACACAUGCAAGUCGAACGGCAGCACGGGAGCUUGCUCCUGGUGGGCGAGUGGCGAACGGGUGAGUAAUGCAUCGGAACGUAUCCUGGAGUGGGGGAUAACGUAGCGAAAGUUACGCUAAUACCGCAUAUUCUGUGAGCAGGAAAGCGGGGGACCUUCGGGCCUCGCGCUCUUGGAGCGGCCGAUGUCGGAUUAGCUAGUUGGUGAGGUAAAGGCUCACCAAGGCGACGAUCCGUAGCAGGUCUGAGAGGAUGAUCUGCCACACUGGAACUGAGACACGGUCCAGACUCCUACGGGAGGCAGCAGUGGGAUUUUGGACAAUGGGGGCAACCCUGAUCCAGCCAUGCCGCGUGAGUGAAGAAGGCCUCGG